CUUGCUCCCGGAUGUUAGCGGCGGACGGGUGAGUAACACGUGGGUAACCUGCCUGUAAGACUGGGAUAACUCCGGGAAACCGGAGCUAAUACCGGAUAGUUCCUUGAACCGCAUGGUUCAAGGAUGAAAGACGGUUUCGGCUGUCACUUACAGAUGGACCCGCGGCGCAUUAGCUAGUUGGUGGGGUAAUGGCUCACCAAGGCGACGAUGCGUAGCCGACCUGAGAGGGUGAUCGGCCACACUGGGACUGAGACACGGCCCAGACUCCUACGGGAGGCAGCAGUAGGGAAUCUUCCGCAAUGGACGAAAGUCUGACGGAGCAACGCCGCGUGAGUGAUGAAGGUUUUCGGAUCGUAAAGCUCUGUUGUUAGGGAAGAACAAGUGCGAGAGUAACUGCUCGCACCUUGACGGUACCUAACCAGAAAGCCACGGCUAACUACGUGCCAGCAGCCGCGGUAAUACGUAGGUGGCAAGCGUUGUCCGGAAUUAUUGGGCGUAAAGGGCUCGCAGGCGGUUUCUUAAGUCUGAUGUGAAAGCCCCCGGCUCAACCGGGGAGGGUCAUUGGAAACUGGGAAACUUGAGUGCAGAAGAGGAGAGUGGAAUUCCACGUGUAGCGGUGAAAUGCGUAGAGAUGUGGAGGAACACCAGUGGCGAAGGCGACUCUCUGGUCUGUAACUGACGCUGAGGAGCGAAAGCGUGGGGAGCGAACAGGAUUAGAUACCCUGGUAGUCCACGCCG
rnacentral:rRNA from 1 species